GUUCAAAAAAAAACAAUUUCCUUUCUUUCUACUCUCUCAAUAGAUAUCGCCUCUCUCAUUCAAAAUUUCCUUUUUAUAUUAUAUCAAUAAUAAUAAUAAAGCCCUGCUCCGUUUUAAGUAUUUUAACUUCCGAUCACCGCUACCCUUUCCGAUUGAUCUGAGCCCCAUAACGCAUGUCAAGGCUCUGCCCGACUAAGUUUAUUUGGGGUUCUGUCUCGGGACAUCGGGAUAAGGUUGAAUUAGGGGUACUAUCCUUAACACAAAAACGAAACGCUGCCACGAUAUAGGGUAUUAACUCAAUCGCUGCUACGAUUCAAUGUCCGAUCUAUUGAAUCUAUCCGAUGAGUGUUUAAGUGCUGCUCAAACCUGGGUUAUACUUUGUCAUUCGUCGUAAUUCCGACAGGAUGUUUGAGUGUCGCCCAAACUCGGGGUAUACUCUGUCAUUCGUUGCGAAUCCGCUGGAUGUUUAAGUAUCGCACUUUGUCAUUCGUUGUGAGGGUUUUAAUCUCGUGAGUUAUCGUAAAUGCUGUAUUAGUUACUUACCGAGUUCGUGUGCCCUAGGUUACAAGACUAAUCAGUAGGCUAAGCUCUGCCCGUAUAAAUCUGCAUGCUUAUAAUGUAAUUACAGUAGAUCGGAAUAAGAGCUGGAUACGGCACCCAAAAGGCUUACAGAAGUGGCUUGAUUUAUCAAUUAAAUUAAAUUAAGAAAAAUUGUUUUAUGUAAUCGGGUUUAUCCCAUAUUAAAGCCACCUUUGUAAAACAUGGGUUUAUCCCAUCUAUUUAAUAAAUAAAAUCCGGUGUUUCUAAACUCUGAUAUUUUUCCAAACUCACGGUCCUGAUGAAAUUUCCGCUGCGUUGUUUUUAGAAUAACCACCGGUACCACUUGGUUGUUCGCGACUCCCGAUUUCGUCCAGGGUGGGGUCGGGGGUCGUGACAGUUGGGAACUCGGUUUGGUACAUAAUAUCCUAAGAAAACAAAGUAGAAAAUAAUAAGUAUGAAAGUAGGGGUGUGCAUGAGUCGGUUUGGUUUGGUUUUUACUAUUAACCAUAACCAUAAACGCUAGUUCGGUUAUGGAGUUUUGGUAACCAUAACCAUAACCAAACUUCGGUUACGGUUAAUCGGUUAUGAAGUCGGUUAUGGUUCGGUUUUGGUUAAUUUCGGUUAAGUAACCAAGCAAGGUUUGAAAUAAAUAGGGUUGUGCACGAUUUGAACUUAACUUGAGCCUAUUUUAUAAGAUAACGGAGACUAAACUUUUUGGUUAAAGUACCGAUUUGGGGUUCUUUUUAAUAAGGUA
rnacentral:lncRNA from 1 species